CUAUAGAAGGUCUGGAGAAAGCUGGUUUUUCAUAUUUUUACAUCAUAUCAAGAAUCCAAAGAAGAACGAGGAAAAGAAAAAGUUGCGGAGUAGUCCCUAAAUUUCAAUAUCUUCUACAAAUUAGCCGGAUUGACUUGAAGUGAAGUGGGUAGAUCGGAUCAACACAACAAAGCACACUAUCCAGAUCAAUUCUGGUAGCUUUUGUUUUAUGUUUGAAGAUUUAUAUGGCAUGUAUAGAGUUUAAAUGAAAUGAAGUAAAGAUGUUAUAAACUAGUUAACAA